CACGCUGUUCAGCAUGCUGCCGUUCAUCAUGAUCUCGUUCCGCCACGGGGUCAAACUGCGAAAAGCUCCGUUUAGGUGCAAAUAACCUUUGAUGCGGAGAUCUCCGAAUGGGAUAACCCAAUAUGUUGAAGACAUAUUAUACCGUAAGGUAGGCAAACGCAGGGAACUGAAACAUCUAAGUACCUGCAGGAGAAGAAAACAAACGUGAUUCCCCCAGUAGCGGCGAGCGACCGGGGAAAAGCCCAAACCGUUAUUGUUUCGGCAGUAGCGGGGUAGUAGGACUGCGACAUUGAUGAAAUAAAUGAAAUGGAACACCUUGGAAAAUGUGAUCACAGAGGGUGAUAAUCCCGUACAUGCAAGUUUAUGAAUCAUAGCAGACUCCUGAGUAAGUCGGGACACGUGUAAUCCUGACCGAAUCCGCCGGGACCAUCCGGCAAGGCUAAAUACUCCUGAGAGACCGAUAGUGAACCAGUACCGUGAGGGAAAGGUGAAAAGCACUUCGAACAGAAGAGUGAAAUAGUCCCUGAACCCAUACGCCUACAAGCUGUCGGAGCCGCUUCGUGCGGUGACGGCGUGCCUUUUGCAUAAUGAGCCUACGAGUUACUCAUCACCAGCGAGGUUAAGUACUUCAGGUACGUAAGCCGAAGCGAAAGCGAGUCUGAAUAGGGCGUCAAGUUGGUGGUGGUAGACGCGAAACCUUAGUGAUCUACCCAUGGGCAGGGUGAAGGUUUGGUAACACAAACUGGAGGCCCGAACCGGUAAACGUUGAAAAGUUUUCGGAUGACCUGUGGGUAGGGGUGAAAGGCCAAUCAAACUGGGAAAUAGCUCGUACUCUCCGAAAUGCAUUUAGGUGCAGCCUCUGUUGUUUUGUUCUAGAGGUAGAGCUACUGAUUGGAUGCGAGGGCUUCACCGCCUAUCAAAUCCGGCCAAACUCCGAAUGCUAGAACAUGAAGACAGGGAGUGAGCCAGCGGGUGCUAAGGUCCGUUGACGAAAGAGGGAGAACUCAGACCAUCAGCUAAGGUCCCCAAUUAUAUGCUAAGUUGGAAUUAAAACGGGGUGGGACUGCUUAGACAGCUAGGAUGUUGGCUUGGAAGCAGCCAUUCAUUUAAAGAGUGCGUAACAGCUCACUAGUCGAGCGGUCCUGCAUGGAUAAUACGCGGGCAUAAGCAUAUAACCGAAGCUAUGGGAUUGUAGAUGAUACAAUCGGUAGGAGAGCAUUCCAUUCAGCAUAGAAGCAGUACCGUGAGGUAUUGUGGAGCGGAUGGAAAAGCAAAUGUAGGCAUAAGUAACGAUAAUGCGGGUGAGAACCCCGCACGCCGAAAGAUCAAGGAUUCCCCGGCAAUGUCAAUCAUCCGGGGGUAAGUCGGAUCCUAAGGGUAAGCCGAGUGGCGAUCCCGAUGGCAAACAGGUUAAUAUUCCUGUACUGAUCAUAACUGCGAUGCAGCGACGCAGAGGUGACACUGCUGCGUACUGACGGAAUAGUACGUUGAAACCCGUAUUCUUUGAUACCGGUAGUGAAGCACGCCGGUAGAGAUGAAAGGUGAUAGUACCGCAAUGCUUCGGUUGCGCGGAUAAUGCAGGUAAGCUGACUGCCAAGAAAACCUGCUAAGCUUCAGGUAAUGAUCAUCCGUACUGUAAACGGACACACGUGAUCAGGUAGAAAAUACUAAGGCGCUCGAGAGAUUCAUGGUUAAGGAACUAGGCAAAAUGGUCCUGUAACUUCGGGAUAAAGGACGCUCUUGUGAAAGAGCCGCAGAUAAUAGGCCCAGGCGACUGUUUACCAAAAACACAUGGCUAUGCUAAUUCGCAAGAAGAUGUAUAUGGCCUGACACCUGCCCGGUGCCGGAAGGUUAAGAGGAGAGCUCAGAGGUAACUCGAAGGUUUGAAUUGAAGCCCCGGUAAACGGCGGCCGUAACUAUAACGGUCCUAAGGUAGCGAAAUUCCUUGUCGGGUAAGUUC
rnacentral:rRNA from 1 species